GACGAACGCUGGCGGCGUGCCUAAUACAUGCAAGUAGAACGCUGAAGGAGGAGCUUGCUUCUCUGGAUGAGUUGCGAACGGGUGAGUAACGCGUAGGUAACCUGCCUGGUAGCGGGGGAUAACUAUUGGAAACGAUAGCUAAUACCGCAUAAGAGUAGAUGUUGCAUGACAUUUGCUUAAAAGGUGCAAUUGCAUCACUACCAGAUGGACCUGCGUUGUAUUAGCUAGUUGGUGGGGUAACGGCUCACCAAGGCGACGAUACAUAGCCGACCUGAGAGGGGGAUCGGCCACACUGGGACUGAGACACGGCCCAGACUCCUACGGGAGGCAGCAGUAGGGAAUCUUCGGCAAUGGACGGAAGUCUGACCGAGCAACGCCGCGUGAGUGAAGAAGGUUUUCGGAUCGUAAAGCUCGGUUGUAAGAGAAGAACGAGUGUGAGAGUGGAAAGUUCACACUGUGACGGUAUCUUACCAGAAAGAGACGGCUAACUACGUG
rnacentral:rRNA from 1 species